GUCUACGGCCAUACCACCCUGAACACGCUCUAUCAUGUCUGAUCUUGGAAGCUAAGCAGGGUCAAGCCUGGUUAGUACUUGGAUGGGAGAUAUGCCACACAUAUGUAAAUU
rnacentral:rRNA from 1 species